rnacentral:lncRNA from 1 species
UCUUAGAAGACUGCUUUGAAGAUGUAUUUAUAGUGUCAAAAGCAUGCAUAACCGUUGCCUAAUUGCCAAUUAAGAAUUGCUGAUUUUAUGCUACGACAAUCGAUUGUCUAAUUGGCACAAUCGAUUGUUUUCCAAUCGUUCCAAAAAUCAUUCCCAGAUUUUACGCAGCAUAAUCGAUUAUCUAAGACGUAUAAUCGAUUACUGGCAACGUUCAAAAGAUCAUUUCUAGAUUUUACGUAAAACAAUCGAUUAUCAGAAAUAUACAAUCAAUUACUUGGCAACGUUCAAAAAAUCAUUUCCAGAUUUUAC